UGUGUAGGCGGUUCUCUAAGUUUGGUGUGAAAUCUCCCGGCUCAACCGGGAGGGUGCGCCGAAAACUGGAGGGCUAGAGUGCGGGAAGGGAGAGUGGAAUUCCUGGUGUAGCGGUGAAAUGCGUAGAUAUCAGGAGGAACACCGGUGGUGUAGACGGCUCUCUGGACCGCGACUGACGCUGAGACACGAAAGCGUGGGUAGCAAACA
rnacentral:rRNA from 1 species